rnacentral:rRNA from 1 species
GACGAACGCUGGCGGCGCGCCUAACACAUGCAAGUCGAGCGAUGAAAUUUUAACCGAUCUCUUCGGAGAGAAGAUAAAAUGGAUUAGCGGCGGACGGGUGAGUAACACGUGAGAAACCUGCCUUUCACAAGGGGAUAGCCUCGGGAAACCGGGAUUAAUACCCUAUGACACAUUUCCUUCGCAUGGAAGAAAUGUUAAAACUCCGGUGGUGAAAGAUGGUCUCGCGCCUGAUUAGCUAGUUGGUGGGGUAACGGCCCACCAAGGCCAUGAUCAGUAACCGGGCUGAGAGGGUGAACGGUCACAUUGGAGAUGAGACACGGUCCAAAAUCCUACGGGAGGCAGGAGUGGGGAAUAUUGCACAAUGGAGGAAACUCUGAUGCAGCGACGCCGGGUGAGCGAUGAAGGCUUUCGAGUCGUAAAGAUCUGUCCUAUGGGAAGAUAAUGACGGUACCAUAGGAAGAAGCACCGGCUAACUACGUG